rnacentral:rRNA from 1 species
AUUGAACGCUGGCGGAAUGCUUUACACAUGCAAGUCGAACGGUAGAGGGGGCAACCCCUUGAGAGUGGCGAACGGGUGAGUAAUAUAUCGGAACGUGCCCAGUCGUGGGGAUAACGUAGCGAAAGUUACGCUAAUACCGCAUACGAUCUAAGGAUGAAAGCGGGGGAUCGCAAGACCUCGCGCGAUUGGAGCGGCCGAUAUCAGAUUAGGUAGUUGGUGAGGUAAAGGCUCACCAAGCCAACGAUCUGUAGCUGGUCUGAGAGGACGACCAGCCACACUGGAACUGAGACACGGUCCAGACUCCUACGGGAGGCAGCAGUGGGGAAUUUUGGACAAUGGGCGAAAGCCUGAUCCAACAAUGCCGCGUGCAGGAUGAAGGCCUCGG